rnacentral:rRNA from 1 species
GACGAACGCUGGCGGCGUGCUUAACACAUGCAAGUCGAACGAAGUGGCGAACGGGUGAGUAACGCGUAAUCAACCUGCCCUUCAGAGGGGGACAACAGUUGGAAACGACUGCUAAUACCGCAUACUGAAGGAGGGGAUUGCGUCUGAUUAGCUAGUAGGUGGGGUAAAGGCUCACCUAGGCGACGAUCUCUAGCGUGUCUGAGAGGAGGAUCAGCCACACUGGGACUGAGAUACGGCCCAAACUCCUACGGGAGGCAGCAGUGGGGAAUAUUGCACAAUGGGGGAAACCCUGAUGCAGCAACGCCGCGUGCGGGAUGACGGCCUUCGGGUUGUAAACCGCUUUCAGCCAUGACGCGGUAGUGGCAGAAGAAGCACCGGCUAACUACGUGCCAGCAGCCGCGGUAAUAC